AUUGAACGCUGGCGGCAUGCCUUACACAUGCAAGUCGAACGGCAGCACGGGAGCAAUCCUGGUGGCGAGUGGCGAACGGGUGAGUAAAGUAUCGGAACGUGCCCAGUCGUGGGGGAUAACGUAGCGAAAGUUACGCUAAUACCGCAUACGAUCUAUGGAUGAAAGCGGGGGAUCGCAAGACCUCGCGCGAUUGGAGCGGCCGAUAUCAGAUUAGGUAGUUGGUGGGGUAAAGGCGCACCAAGCCGACGAUCUGUAGCUGGUCUGAGCGGACGACCAGCCAGAAUGGGACUGAGACACGGCCCAGACUCCUACGGGAGUCAGCAGUGGGGAAUUUUGGACAAUGGGCGAAAGCCUGAUCCAGCCAUGCCGCGUGCAGGAUGAAGGCCUUCGGGUUGUAAACUGCUUUUGUACGGAACGAAAAGGUUUGGCCUAAUAAGCUGAGCUCAUGACGGUACCGUAAGAAUAAGCACCGGCUAACUACGUGCCAGCCGCCGCAGUAA
rnacentral:rRNA from 1 species